UAUUUUACCUAACUAAUCCCACAAUAAAUUAUUCUGGAAUCACUAUCCCAACCCAGGAAGGGAUAACUACUAAUUCUCUUGCAAUUUACUUUAUCAUGAAGACAUGAACUUAUUUCUUUCAGACUGCGCCUUAUUGAAAUAUUUGAUGUAAAAAGGCUUCAGAUGCGCUAUGCCACCUCUGUAAUAGGCGGGCCGUCCACUUUGGCCACUUUUGUAGCCGUCUAUUCUCUUUUUGGACCAACCUAUCCAGGAACAUAUGACAAGGACAGAGGAGUUGGACUGAAAAUCCUUAUGUCAGUGGUUCGAAUCCACUUCUAAGCAGGCGAAAGGUCCAAACCGUAGCCGGGAGUGAGCCGGAUUGAGAAAUGAAAGUGAAAGAGGAUUGUCGUUUGCUUUUCCAAUUCCCUCCCAGUAUACAGAUUGCUGCCGUGAUGGUGAAGCGGAACUACCUCUUGAGUUUCCAGAUGGCACAACCCCAGUUACUUGCCGUGUAUCAAUAUUUGAUAGUUCUGCUGGAAGCAAAGUUGGUGUUGGAUCCAUGAUGGACAAGGCC